AACGGUCUAUACCUGCGGUACCUGCGGAAGGAUCAUUAUUGAAUAACUUGGUGUUGAGCUGGCCCUUGUCGGGCAUGUGCUCGCAUCAUAUUAUUUAUCUAUCUCUUGUGCACCUUUUGUAGUCUUUGAAGUGUUCGCAGUCAAUGCGGUAUUGGGUCUUGGGCUUUUGCCCUGUUCCCUGUUAGCUUCAAGGGCUAUGUUUAUAUACACUAGUUUGAAGUCACAGAAUGUAUCUUAUUG
rnacentral:misc_RNA from 1 species